AAGGACCAACAGGGAUUGCCUCAGUAACUGCGAGUGAAGCGGCAAAAGCUCAAAUUUGAAAUCUGGCGUCCUCUGGGCGUCCGAGUUGUAAUUUGGAGGAGCGUCUUCGGGAGCGGCACUGUCCUAAGUUCUUUGGAACAGGACGUCAUAGAGGGUGAGAAUCCCGUGCCUGGGCGGUUGCCCGUUCCCAUGUGAAGUGCUUCCGACGAGUCGAGUUGUUUGGGAAUGCAGCUCAAAAUGGGUGGUAAAUUUCAUCUAAAGCUAAAUAUUGGCGAGAGACCGAUAGCGCACAAGUAGAGUGAUCGAAAGAUGAAAAGCACUUUGAAAAGAGAGUUAAAAAGUACGUGAAAUUGUUGAAAGGGAAGCGCUUGAGAUCAAACUCGGCCUUUGGUGAUCCACUGGGCUUCUGUCCGGUGAAACUUUGCCAUUGGCCGGGCCAGCGUCGGUUCUGACGGUGGGAAAAACGGCCGGGGAAUGUGGCUCCUCUCGGGGAGUGUUAUAGACCUGGCCUUAGAUACCGCCAGUUGGGACCGAGGACCGCGCUUCGGCUAGGAUGCUGGCGUAAUGGUCUUAAGCGACCCGUCUUGAAACACGGACCAAGGAGUCUAACAUCUAUGCGAGUGUUCGGGUGG
rnacentral:rRNA from 1 species